UGAGUAACACGUAUCCAACCUGCCGUCUACUCUUGGACAGCCUUCUGAAAGGAAGAUUAAUACAAGAUGGCAUCAUGAGUCCACAUGUUCACAUGAUUAAAGGUAUUCCGGUAGACGAUGGGGAUGCGUUCCAUUAGAUAGUAGGCGGGGUAACGGCCCACCUAGUCAACGAUGGAUAGGGGUUCUGAGAGGAAGGUCCCCCACAUUGGAACUGAGACGCGGUCCAA
rnacentral:rRNA from 1 species